rnacentral:rRNA from 1 species
GACGAACGCUGGCGGCGUGCCUAAUACAUGCAAGUAGAACGCUGAAGGAGGAGCUUGCUUCUCUGGAUGAGUUGCGAACGGGUGAGUAACGCGUAGGUAACCUGCCUGGUAGCGGGGGAUAACUAUUGGAAACGAUAGCUAAUACCGCAUAAUAGUAGAUGUUGCAUGACAUUUGCUUAAAAGGUGCAAUUGCAUCACUACCAGAUGGACCUGCGUUGUAUUAGCUAGUUGGUGGGGUAACGGCUCACCAAGGCGACGAUACAUAGCCGACCUGAGAGGGUGAUCGGCCACACUGGGACUGAGACACGGCCCAGACUCCUACGGGAGGCAGCAGUAGGGAAUCUUCGGCAAUGGACGGAAGUCUGACCGAGCAACGCCGCGUGAGUGAAGAAGGUUUUCGGAUCGUAAAGCUCUGUUGUAAGAGAAGAACGAGUGUGAGAGUGGAAAGUUCACACUGUGACGGUAUCUUAACAGAAAGGGACGGCUAACUACGUG